AGAGUUUGAUCCUGGCUCAGGACGAACGCUGGCGGCGUGCCUAAUACAUGCAAGUCGAACGCUUCUUUUUCCMCCGGAGCUUGCUCCACCGGAAAAAGAGGAGUGGCGAACGGGUGAGUAACACGUGGGUAACCUGCCCAUCAGAAGGGGAUAACACUUGGAAACAGGUGCUAAUACCGUAUAACAAUCGAAACCGCAUGGUUUUGAUUUGAAAGGCGCUUUCGGGUGUCGCUGAUGGAUGGACCCGCGGUGCAUUAGCUAGUUGGUGAGGUAACGGCUCACCAAGGCGACGAUGCAUAGCCGACCUGAGAGGGUGAUCGGCCACAUUGGGACUGAGACACGGCCCAAACUCCUACGGGAGGCAGCAGUAGGGAAUCUUCGGCAAUGGACGAAAGUCUGACCGAGCAACGCCGCGKGAGUGAAGAAGGKUUUCGGAUCGUAAAACUCUGUUGUUAGAGAAGAACAAGGAUGAGAGUAACUGUUCAUCCCUUGACGGUAUCUAACCAGAAAGCCACGGCUAACUACGUGCCAGCAGCCGCGGUAAUACGUAGGUGGCAAGCGUUGUCCGGAUUUAUUGGGCGUAAAGCGAGCGCAGGCGGUUUCUUAAGUCUGAUGKGAAAGCCCCCGGCUCAACCGGGGAGGGUCAUUGGAAACUGGGAGACUUGAGKGCAGAAGAGGAGAGUGGAAUUCCAUGUGUAGCGGUGAAAUGCGUAGAUAUAUGGAGGAACACCAGUGGCGAAGGCGGCUCUCUGGUCUGUAACUGACGCUGAGGCUCGAAAGCGKGGGGAGCAAACAGGAUUAGAUACCCUGGKAGUCCACGCCGUAAACGAUGAGUGCUAAGKGUUGGAGGGUUUCCGCCCUUCAGUGCUGCAGCUAACGCAUUAAGCACUCCGCCUGGGGAGUACGACCGCAAGGUUGAAACUCAAAGGAAUUGACGGGGGCCCGCACAAGCGGUGGAGCAUGUGGUUUAAUUCGAAGCAACGCGAAGAACCUUACCAGGUCUUGACAUCCUUUGACCACUCUAGAGAUAGAGCUUCCCCUUCGGGGGCAAAGUGACAGGUGGUGCAUGGUUGUCGUCAGCUCGUGUCGUGAGAUGUUGGGUUAAGUCCCGCAACGAGCGCAACCCUUAUUGUUAGUUGCCAUCAUUUAGUUGGGCACUCUAGCAAGACUGCCGGUGACAAACCGGAGGAAGGKGGGGAUGACGUCAAAUCAUCAUGCCCCUUAUGACCUGGGCUACACACGUGCUACAAUGGGAAGUACAACGAGUCGCAAAGUCGCGAGGCUAAGCUAAUCUCUUAAAGCUUCUCUCAGUUCGGAUUGUAGGCUGCAACUCGCCUACAUGAAGCCGGAAUCGCUAGUAAUCGCGGAUCAGCACGCCGCGGUGAAUACGUUCCMGGGCCUUGUACACACCGCCCGUCACMCCACGAGAGUUUGUAACMCCCGAAGUCGGUGAGGUAACCUUUUGGAGCCAGCCGCCUAAGGUGGGAUAGAUGAUUGGGGUGAAGUCGUAACAAGGUAGCCGUAUCGGAAGGUGCGGCUG
rnacentral:rRNA from 1 species